CUUCAGGGCAGCCAAUGAGAAACAAACAACCACCCUCGCCCCUAGCAAUAAGAUUAAUAAAAGGUUUCUGCAUGAAGGACUGUGGGAGGAAACUGUCUCUGGAAUGAGACAGACACUGUGGCAGAGAGAAGGAAGAGUGACAGAAGUUUCAGAUGAAAGAAUCAACCACCGACAAAGCCAUCAUCUGGCAGGGAAGGAGCAGAAGGACAGAGUUUCAGGAAAUUGCUUAUUUCACUGUGGCGGCUGUUCACUGUGCUAGGGCUGGUGAUGACAUGCUAUUCCCCUGUGUGUCCACUGACGCACUCCUGGUGGGAUGGAGUCCAUUAUGGUGGUGAAGAAAUGGUAACAGGCAGAGACAUCAUGGUAGCAGAAGCAAGAAGCUGGCUGAUGACAUUCCAUCAACACUCAGAAAGGAAGAAGUGGAGCCAGGCUGUGAAAUCCAAAGCCUACAGCCAGUGAGGUUCUGCUUCCUGCUGAAUCUCACUGUAAUCAGAUUAACCAUAUCC